GGGAAGAGCAGGCGCAUGGUACUCCCCAUGGUAGCCCAGUCAUACUGAAGGAUAAACAGUGAUUAUCUGGGCUGCCUGGAGAGAGAGACAUGCUUAUGUACCACUCUCAGACAGACCACACAUACAUGUGAGGGACACUAGCCAAGACAACGUUCUAGCUACAGUCAGAGGAGAAUAACACAUAAACAAAGACACACACACACAGAAUCACGUUCAGUCAAGUGUGAAUUGUCCUGCCUUUCAAACACAUGUCCACACAGAUACAUACACACAUAAUGCCGCCGGCGGCGUCUGUGAGUGUGAGGCGAAUGUUACGUAAGAAAGAUCAAAGCUACUUAUGGGCGAGGAAUGGACAGAGGAGGGACAGCGGGAAAAGAAAGAAUGGGGAGAUGGAGGGAGAGAGGGAUCGCAGAGAACAGAAUAGAGAAAGAAUGGGGAGAUGGAGGGAGAGAGGGAUCGCAGAGAACAGAGUAGAGAAAGAAUGGGGAGAUGGAGGGAGAGAGGGAUCAGAGAGAACAGAGGGUAGAGAAAGAAUGGGGAGAUGGAGGGAGAGAGGGAUCAGAGAGAACAGAGGGUAGAGAAAGAAUGGGGAGAUGGAGGGAGAGAGAGAUCAGAGAGAACAGAGGGUAGAGAAAGUGGUGACAGGCGGUGACACUGCGCGUGUCCUCGUUCCCUGUUUACGAUGGGAUAAUCACACACACACACACACACACACACACACACACACACACACACACACACACACUGUGCUCUGCCCUCUGUGUCCCCCUCACAGCCCACUGUGACAUGCUGCUGCCAAUGCCAUGAUAGUGUGUGUGUAGUGUCUUUCUUUUCUUUUCCUAUAUACCUAUUCCAUAUCUUUCUUCCCCCCCCCCUCUUUGUAAACCCUUUCUUUGCUUACCCUUUACCUCCUCCCUCUCUUCCCUCUCUCGCCCACUACGUCUCUCUUACAGGAAUUGGUAGCAGAUGUGGAGAGAGCUUUUUCCUUCAUCUAAAAUGAUCCCCAAUAAAAGAAUGUCAGGAAAAGAGUGAGGGGAAAGAAGGCUUGAUGGAGAAGCAGAAAGGAAUGGGGAAGGCAUAGGUUGAUGGUCUCGGUGAAGUAAGGGUGUAUUUUUGGGACCUCGCACACCGUGCUGACACAGUCAAGCCGUCGGGGGCACAAACAAAGUUGGUAUAGAGGAACAGCGUCUGAGUAGCAUGUGAUGCUAACCUGUCCUGCUGUUGUUGAAAAGGCCUGGAUUAAGAUUAGGACUAGUUGUAAGUGAAUAAUGAUGAGAAGGAGUAGUCUGACAGCAGGCGGCAGUAGUCUGACAGCAGGCGGCAGUAGUCUGACAGCAGGCGGCAGUAGUCUGACAGCAGGCGGCAGUAGUCUGACAGCAGGCGGCAGUAGUCUGACAGCAGUAGUCUGACAGCAGUAGUCUGACAGCAG
ensembl:lncRNA